rnacentral:rRNA from 1 species
UACGGGGGGGGGCAAGCGUUGUUCGGAAUUACUGGGCGUAAAGGGUUCGUAGGUGGCUUGCUAAGUCAGACGUGAAAUCCCUCGGCUUAACCGGGGAACUGCGUCGGAUACUGGAUGGCUUGAAUUCGGGAGAGGGAUGCAGAAUUCCAGGUGUAGCGGUGAAAUGCGUAGAUAUCUGGAGGAAUACCGGUGGCGAAGGCGGCAUCCUGGACCGACAUUGACGCUGAAUGGCGAAAGCUAGGGGAGCAAACGGGG